AGCGAACGCUGGCGGCAGGCCUAACACAUGCAAGUCGAACGAACCUUUCGGGGUUAGUGGCGGACGGGUGAGUAACACGUGGGAACGUGCCUUUAGGUUCGGAAUAACUCAGGGAAACUUGUGCUAAUACCGAAUGUGCCCUUCGGGGGAAAGAUUUAUCGCCUUUAGAGCGGCCCGCGUCUGAUUAGCCAGUUGGUUGAGGUAAUGGCUCACCAAGGCGACGAUCAGUAGCUGGUCUGAGAGGAUGAUCAGCCACAUUGGGACUGAGACACGGCCCAAACUCCUGCGGGAGGCAGCAGUGGGGAAUCUUGCGCAAUGGGCGACAGCCUGACGCAGCCAGGCCGCGUGAAUGAUGAAGGUCUUAGGAUUGUAGAAUUCUUUCACCGGGGACGAUAAUGACGGUACCCGGAGAAGAAGCCCCGGCUAACUUCGUG
rnacentral:rRNA from 1 species